UUUGUUUUUUAAUUAAAAACUAGAAUGAAAGAUUUUACAUUUUAAUUUCUUUAUUAAAUAUAAUAUACUAACUUAUAUUAAAUAUAAAAAUAUAUUUAUAAAAUAAAAAGACGACAAGACCCUAUUAAAUUUUACUUAUUGUUUAGCUGGGGCAGCUUUUUAAAUAAAACUUUAAAAUUUAUAAUAUAAUAAUAUAUCUAUACUAAAAUUAAAAAAUCUAUUAUAAAUAAAUUAAUCUAAUUACUAUAGGGAUAACAGCGUUAUAUUUUUUUCAAGUUCAUAUUUAAAAAAAUCAUUGCGACCUCGAUGUUGAAUUAUAUUUCUUUAUUAAUGCA
rnacentral:rRNA from 1 species